rnacentral:rRNA from 1 species
GGGACACGUGGUAUCCUGUCUGAAUAUGGGGGGACCAUCCUCCAAGGCUAAAUACUCCUGACUGACCGAUAGUGAACCAGUACCGUGAGGGAAAGGCGAAAAGAACCCCGGCGAGGGGAGUGAAAAAGAACCUGAAACCGUGUACGUACAAGCAGUGGGAGCCUCUUAAUGGGGUGACUGCGUACCUUUUGUAUAAUGGGUCAGCGACUUAUAUUCUGUAGCAAGGUUAACCGAAUAGGGGAGCCGAAGGGAAACCGAGUCUUAACUGGGCGUUAAGUUGCAGGGUAUAGACCCGAAACCCGGUGAUCUAGCCAUGGGCAGGUUGAAGGUUGGGUAACACUAACUGGAGGACCGAACCGACUAAUGUUGAAAAAUUAGCGGAUGACUUGUGGCUGGGGGUGAAAGGCCAAUCAAACCGGGAGAUAGCUGGUUCUCCCCGAAAGCUAUUUAGGUAGCGCCUCGUGAAUUCAUCUCCGGGGGUAGAGCACUGUUUCGGCAAGGGGGUCAUCCCGACUUACCAACCCGAUGCAAACUGCGAAUACCGGAGAAUGUUAUCACGGGAGACACACGGCGGGUGCUAACGUCCGUCGUGAAGAGGGAAACAACCCAGACCGCCAGCUAAGGUCCCAAAGUCAUGGUUAAGUGGGAAACGAUGUGGGAAGGCCCAGACAGCCAGGAUGUUGGCUUAGAAGCAGCCAUCAUUUAAAGAAAGCGUAAUAGCUCACUGGUCGAGUCGGCCUGCGCGGAAGAUGUAACGGGGCUAAACCAUGCACCGAAGCUGCGGCAGCGACACUAUGUGUUGUUGGGUAGGGGAGCGUUCUGUAAGCCUGUGAAGGUGGCCUGUGAGGGUUGCUGGAGGUAUCAGAAGUGCGAAUGCUGACAUAAGUAACGAUAAAGCGGGUGAAAAGCCCGCUCGCCGGAAGACCAAGGGUUCCUGUCCAACGUUAAUCGGGGCAGGGUGAGUCGACCCCUAAGGCGAGGCCGAAAGGCGUAGUCGAUGGGAAACAGGUUAAUAUUCCUGUACUUGGUGUUACUGCGAAGGGGGGACGGAGAAGGCUAUGUUGGCCGGGCGACGGUUGUCCCGGUUUAAGCGUGUAGGCUGGUUUUCCAGGCAAAUCCGGAAAACCAAGGCUGAGGCGUGAUGACGAGGCACUACGGUGCUGAAGCGACAAAUGCCCUGCUUCCAGGAAAAGCCUCUAAGCAUCAGGUAACAUCAAAUCGUACCCCAAACCGACACAGGUGGUCAGGUAGAGAAUACCAAGGCGCUUGAGAGAACUCGGGUGAAGGAACUAGGCAAAAUGGUGCCGUAACUUCGGGAGAAGGCACGCUGAUAUGUAGGUGAAGCGACUUGCUCGUGGAGCUGAAAUCAGUCGAAGAUACCAGCUGGCUGCAACUGUUUAUUAAAAACACAGCACUGUGCAAACACGAAAGUGGACGUAUACGGUGUGACGCCUGCCCGGUGCCGGAAGGUUAAUUGAUGGGGUUAGCGGUAACGCGAAGCUCUUGAUCGAAGCCCCGGUAAACGGCGGCCGUAACUAUAACGGUCCUAAGGUAGCGAAAUUCCUUGUCGGGUAAGUUCCGACCUGCACGAAUGGCGUAAUGAUGGCCAGGCUGUCUCCACCCGAGACUCAGUGAAAUUGAACUCGCUGUGAAGAUGCAGUGUACCCGCGGCAAGACGGAAAGACCCCGUGAACCUUUACUAUAGCUUGACACUGAACAUUGAGCCUUGAUGUGUAGGAUAGGUGGGAGGCUUUGAAGUGUGGACGCCAGUCUGCAUGGAGCCGACCUUGAAAUACCACCCUUUAAUGUUUGAUGUUCUAACGUUGGCCCGUAAUCCGGGUUGCGGACAGUGUCUGGUGGGUAGUUUGACUGGGGCGGUCUCCUCCUAAAGAGUAACGGAGGAGCACGAAGGUUGGCUAAUCCUGGUCGGACAUCAGGAGGUUAGUGCAAUGGCAUAAGCCAGCUUGACUGCGAGCGUGACGGCGCGAGCAGGUGCGAAAGCAGGUCAUAGUGAUCCGGUGGUUCUGAAUGGAAGGGCCAUCGCUCAACGGAUAAAAGGUACUCCGGGGAUAACAGGCUGAUACCGCCCAAGAGUUCAUAUCGACGGCGGUGUUUGGCACCUCGAUGUCGGCUCAUCACAUCCUGGGGCUGAAGUAGGUCCCAAGGGUAUGGCUGUUCGCCAUUUAAAGUGGUACGCGAGCUGGGUUUAGAACGUCGUGAGACAGUUCGGUCCCUAUCUGCCGUGGGCGCUGGAGAACUGAGGGGGGCUGCUCCUAGUACGAGAGGACCGGAGUGGACGCAUCACUGGUGUUCGGGUUGUCAUGCCAAUGGCACUGCCCGGUAGCUAAAUGCGGAAGAGAUAAGUGCUGAAAGCAUCUAAGCACGAAACUUGCCCCGAGAUGAGUUCUCCCUGAGACUUAGAGUCUCCUGAAGGAACGUUGAAGACGACGACGUUGAUAGGCCGGGUGUGUAAGCGCAGCGAUGCGUUGAGCUAACCGGUACUAAUGAACCGUGAGGCUUAACCUUACAACGCCGAAG